rnacentral:rRNA from 1 species
GACGAGCCUCACAAACGUUAUUCGGAAUUACUGGGCUUAAAGGGUGCGUAGGCGGUGCGGAAAGUUGGGUGUGAAAUCCCUCGGCUUAACCGAGGAAUUGCGCUCAAUACUACCGUGCUCGAGGGAGAUAGAGGAAUGCGGAACUUACGGUGGAGCGGUGAAAUGCGUUGAUAUCGUAGGGAACACCGGUGGCGAAAGCGGCAUUCUGGAUCUCUUCUGACGCUGAGGCACGAAAGCUAGGGUAGCAAACGGG